GACGAACCGUACGAACGUUAUUCGGAAUUACUGGGCUUAAAGGGUGCGUAGGCUGUGCGGAAAGUUGGGCGUGAAAUACCUCAGCUUAACUGAGGAACUGCGUUCAAAACUACCGUGCUCGAGGGAGACAGAAGGUAAGCGGAACUGAGGGUGGAGCGGUGAAAUGCGUUGAUAUCCCUCAGGAACACCGGUGGCGAAAGCGGCUUACUGGGUCUCUUCUGACGCUGAUGCACGAAAGCUAGGGUAGCAAACGGG
rnacentral:rRNA from 1 species